rnacentral:tRNA from 1 species
CGGGGAGUAUAGCGGAAUUGCCGGGAUGCGCAACAGAUGCGCAACUGAUUGGCUAACAUGACAUUGAAAUUGUGAGAGAUUUUGUCCUAUGUGAAAGACUCUGACUCUGUUUGUCUUGGUUCGAAUCCAGGUUCCCCAGCCA